GGUUCAUAUUUGACAGUUGGGUCUCAAGAGGGUGGAUCAGGAGGGGCGGGCGGCCCAGUAGCAGGUGGUUGAAGAAGCUUUGCUGCUGCAGGAAGACCUGCUAGGUCGAAACCAGGCGGUGGAACAAUACCAGCAGCUGUCGCCGUGCCUUAGCGCUGGCUUGCAUAAGAAUAUAGUUUUUUGCAAGAAGUAACGUUGCUAUUUUUGAAAGCUUUCGAACUGAUGGCGAAUGAGCAUAGGGAAUGACACUGCGCAAUUCGUCGAGCGCGUCGUUCUGUAGAUAGAAAAAUUAUACAAAGGUUAAUUAUUAUUAGUAAACUAGUAUAGUAGAUAAUUUAGUAUCAUCCUCCUGUCUAAUAAAAAAUAAAUAAUAAAAUUGGACUACGAAUG